rnacentral:lncRNA from 1 species
UCUACUAACUAGAACCUGGAGGGGCACAAAACAAAAUUGAGUGGGUCAGUACAACAAAGUUUUUCGAAAACAUUUCCUUUAAAACAUUUCUAGCCCAUCGCUGUAAAACCCGUAUACUUUCCCAGAAAAUAACAUAAUAAUAUAUAAACAUAUAUAUAUAUAUAUAUCAUCAAAAGCUCAAAUUAUAAUCCUUCAACGCUUUUCAGAAAGAAUAUGCCAUGCCAAGCCAUAUGCCAAAAUAUAAUGUGAAUGCAUCAAUAUAAUUCAGGUGAAAUAAUAAAUCAACCGGAGACCCUACAGUGGUUCUGUACGGCUGAUUCUAUAGCUCAAUAUCCCAUCCAGCCGGAGUCACCAACUGUGACCUGUACGGCCCUGUCGGAGUCACCAACUGUGACCUGUACGGCACUACACUGCACAUAAGUCGGAACUACCUAUAGUAGCCUGUACGACUAAGAUGGUGAAAUAAUACGCUCUAGUGCUUCUCUCAUUCAUCAUCUGUGCACAUAAUCUAAGGUCACCUACCAGUCGGAACCCUUCUAAUGGUUUGUACGACUGGCAUGUCGGAACCACCUCUAGUGGUCUGUACGACUAGUAGGUCGGAACCACCUCUAGUGGUCUGUACGACUAGCAUCUAUUUGGAUCCAAGGUGAGCGUAUGAUGCAGGGUGAAUAACAUAAGCACUAACACCAGGGGUGCAGGUUACGAGCUCAACAUAAUUCACAUCAUCAUUCAUUCAUAUAAACCAUAUAAACUCACCUGAUACUCACCUGUGCGUCCACAUCACCAAUUCACAUAUAUAUAUGCAUCAAUAUCAAUUCAUAUAAUUUAUAAUAUGCAUCAUGGCAAUUGAAAACAUACUUUCAUAUAAAUUCAAUUUCUGGGACAAUUAAUAGUAUAUAGGUAAUACAAAAACAAAAACUGCCUACUCACCUGAAGUUCGCCCAACAACUCCCUAGCACCACACAUCAAGGCGUCGUGAUGAUCAGCGCCUAGAACGAUAAUCAAAUCCAACCUCAUAAUUCAUAUCGAUAGAAUAUAUAACUUAUAUAAGACACGUCACUACGUAGUUCGAUCUGGAAGAUCUGCAACUCAGAUUUCAAAUCCAUAACUUCCAGAGGUCCACAAUAUACCUCUAGGACAUCAUCCUAAAAUUUCAUUACCAUCCAACGGUCGAAUCUCCGUCAAUUGUCAAAACCAAGUGACGGUUAACAUUCUAUUUUAUGAACUUACAACUCUAAUUCUGAAGGAUCCGUUAAUCGGAUUCCUGAUCCGUAAGUUCCUAUAAUCCUCAAAUAUUACGUAUUACAACGUAUCAAAGUUUGGUGACGAUCCGACGGUUGGAUCGUAAAUUCACAUUUUCACCUAACCACGAAUCGAAACGAACUUAGGUUCAAUUACUCAAUUUACGUCCAUCAAUUAUCAAAACUGAACCUAGAACCUUAAACACAUGCUAAGAAUGACAUUGGCGGCCCAUUG